CUCCGGUUGAUCCUGCCGGACCCGACUGCUAUCAGAGUGGGACUAAGCCAUGCGAGUCGACGUAGCAAUGCGUGGCGAACGGCUCAGUAACACGUAGUCAACAUGCCCAGGGGACGUGGAUAACCUCGGGAAACUGAGAAUAAACCACGAUAGGUCACGAUUUCUGGAAUGGAUCAUGGCCUAAAUCUACAUGGCCCCUGGAUUGGACUGCGGCCGAUCAGGCUGUUGGUGAGGUAAUGGCCCACCAAACCUAUAACCGGUACGGGCUCUGAGAGGAGAAGCCCGGAGAUGGGCACUGAGACAAGGGCCCAGGCCCUAUGGGGCGCAGCAGGCGCGAAACCUCUGCAAUAGGCGAAAGCCUGACAGGGUUACUCUGAGUGAUUUCCGCUAAGGGGAUCUUUUGGCACCUCUAAAAAUGGUGCAGAAUAAGGGGUGGGCAAGUCUGGUGUCAGCCGCCGCGGUAAUACCAGCACCCCGAGUGGUCGGGACGAUUAUUGGGCCUAAAGCAUCCGUAGCCGGUUCUGCAAGUCUUCCGUUAAAUCCAGCCGCUCAACGGAUGGGCCGCGGAGGAUACUACAGGACUAGGAGGCGGGAGAGGCAAGCGGUACUCAGUGGGUAGGGGUAAAAUCCUUUGAUCCAUUGAAGACCACCAGUGGCGAAGGCGGCUUGCCAGAACGCGCUCGACGGUGAGGGAUGAAAGCUGGGGGAGCAAACCGGAUUAGAUACCCGGGUAGUCCCAGCUGUAAACGAUGCAGACUCGGUGAUGGGCUAGCCUUGUGCCAGCCCAGUGCCGCAGGGAAGCCGUUAAGUCUGCCGCCUGGGGAGUACGGUCGCAAGACUGAAACUUAAAGGAAUUGGCGGGGGAGCA
rnacentral:rRNA from 1 species